UUUUAGUUUGCUGAGGUUUCUGCAAUUUAUUUUUGAGAAAAUGGGAAAGCGUGGAAAUAAUCAGAAGAAAGCCCCUCAGAAUUUGAAGAAAAUGAAGCUGAAUAAUGAAGAUGUGAAAAAAUUCAGUAGUAUGGAGGAUGAAAUUGAUGUCUGGCCGUUUCGAAAAUUUAUCACUCAGAUUCAUUCACGCUUUCAAAUGGUGGUGGUCCGCGUAGCAGGGGCGGCGGUUUAAGUGUUUCUUUAGCUGGGCCAGAUGGGCGGGUCUUAGGAGGUGGUGUUGCCGGUGUUUUAAUAGCUGCGUCCCCAGUACAGACUUAUACAAGAUAAAGUUUGGCCAAAUCUAUUUGAGUAAGUCGAUGCCGACAGAAUCAGAUGGUGAAACAAAUAACCCAGAGAAUGGCAUGGAGCCUCAAAGAGCUGCAGUGGGGAAGCAGAACCACUGUCAGGUUCAAUAUACCCAGCAGGCCCACCUCCAGCAGCAGACACAGUGAGGAGAAUAACCAGCACAAAGAAGCUGAAGGAACUAAUGAAAUGCCAUGGACAGCUCAAGCAGAAAUGUUGGAGAAGUGCUUGAUCGUCUCACACUUA